CAUUUUGCUGUUAAUUGUCAUAAUAUUUUCGUGAUAUAGAAAAGAAGGUUUGGGGGUUAUUUUCCGGAAUGUUGUCUCGAAUAAUCGUAAUUUCUUUUGAUAAAUCCACAGCUGCCUUGACGCAAUAUUAGGGGCACGUUCUGAAUUAAAAAAUACGAGAUUAAAGUCGUAAAUUACUGACAACAAAUUCGAAACGUUACGAGAAUACAGUAGAAAAGCUACGAUAAAGAGUCGUAGCGUUUCAUGAAAACACCUCUGUGACUAAUAAAUGAAAUUAGUAUUUAGUAAUUUAUAACGUUGGUGCAGUACAUCAACCGAACACUUGGGGUCUGUAUUUCACCACACUUAGGACAACUAUCAGGGCCUCGGCUGAGUUACUUCACAUGAUUUCUCAGCAGGUAGAAACCCGGAAUACUUCAAGAACACACACAGGAAACUUCAUUUGAAAACAGAAUGACCAUCUGUUACCACUGGGCUUCAACCCGAUGACCUUCUUGCUCUGAGCAAAAAAGAACAUCAAACUUCCAGAGAAAUACAUCGAUGGCUGGAAACGUGUCCUGAUAAUUGGCAUUCAUUCAUCUCCACCGACUCCAGCUGCGAGAAGAAAGAGGUGGGGGAGGGACAGGAUCAUCUGACAGGAGGAGACGUGCUAUUAUGCAGAGAGCAGCCAUGCAGAUAAUUAUCUGUGGGAGGCACUGGGACAGCAACAAGGCUGGCGGACAGUCUGAUCUUGUCGGCGGCAGAAGGACAGAGAAUCAUUGGCGGCAAAGACGAAAGAUGAAAAAACAAAGGAAAGUUCACAGGUGGCUAAAUCCUGCUCCACUCUGUCUGGAAAACUUCACCUGUCAGUUCUGUUUAGGUGAAUGGGUUAUUCUUUUCAGCGCAUCACAUGAAACUCAUAUCAGAGCUAAGACUUGCAGAUUAUAUCUGUAAUACUUUUGAAAAUGUGCCCUGACUACCUGGCAUUAAACUCCGUCACUCAGUGAUUCCCUUUGACUUAAUGUUUCUGGCUAUAUACAGUACAGUUUAAUAGGAACUUUAUGUCUGUAUUACUGAUCCAACGGAGCCAAUUUAAAAACACAAAUUAACUAUCAGUGUCGUGGGUGUACGUGCCAUCUCAGAUAUUAAUUCCAAAAAUAUUCAAGUGAUAAUAGUUUUGUAUAUAUGUAUGUAUCUAUACAUCUAUCUAUACAUACGUAUGCAUUGGCUAUUAGAUGCAUUGUGGUUUAUUUAGUUUAAUUAUUUGUACAAUAAAUGAAGCCCAAACAUGUGGUUCCGUGUUAAGCUAACAUCUCCAAAAGAAAGAUACAAUCUACAAUCCAGACUGUCAGUGUCUGAACGGUAAUGAAGGGACAAACUAUCAGUUUGUUUCCUAAGGUUUAAAACAAAAACAAAACUUAUUUUCACCUCAUCUGACCCUCUCAAUUUCCUCCAACUAGGGCUCUGGGUUUUGCCCACAAGCUGGUCUCUGAUAGAGGAAAAAAAAGUGAACAUCAUCAAUUGCCAGAGUCAGACUCAGAGCUUGAUGUCUCACCCUUUUGACAAGAAUCCUAUCCUUAGCAAAUUAGUGGCAGGAGACAGCAAAAUAAAUUACAUUUAGGGCAAAAUAACCCACAAUGUCUCCGCUGUCUGGUGCUCGUAAAAACAGAAGGAAUGAGAAACUCCUUUUUGCCCCCUUUGAACUAAAUAUAUUUGUGACCAAACCAAACUGUCUAUUCCAAAGAAUUGUGUUUCUGUUGUUGUUUCUGUAGCUGACCUGCCUCUGUUUCAUUUACUGUAUAUCUAACCUUUAUUUUUCUGCAUUAUUUUUGAUGUUAUGGUGCGUUUAAAAGGAUAAAACAUUUUCAACAUUCAGUAUAAACAUCCCGUUCCGCAAAAUUAACAUUUUGAAUGUAGUCAUUUUCUUCUAAGGACAGACUUCAGAGAAACGAUGGUGGCUAGAACAAAGUCUUCCUCAAAUUGUGAGGGCCUCAAAUAGGC